rnacentral:rRNA from 1 species
UGCGUAGGCGGUUUGGUAAGUCUUGUGUGAAAUCUACAGGCUCAACUUGUAGUCUGCACGAGAAACUGCCGGGCUUGAGUGUGGGAGAGGUGAGUGGAAUUUCCGGUGUGGCGGUGAAAUGCGUAGAUAUCGGAAGGAACACCUGUGGCGAAAGCGGCUCACUGGACCACAACUGACGCUGAUGCACGAAAGCUAGGGGAGCAAACAGGAUUAGAUACCCUGGUAGUCCUAGCCCUAAACGAUGACUGCUUGGUGUGACGGGUACCCAAUCCCGCCGUGCCGUAGCUAACGCGUUAAGCAGUCCGCCUGGGGAGUACGGUCGCAAGGCUGAA